ACCUGGGGAGUGUUAAACACUUCUGACGCCUGGGUCCCAGGCCCAGAGAUGCCAACUUCACUUGUCUGGGAUGUAGCCUGGCUAUCUUUUUUUCCUGAAAUCUCCCCAGGUGGUUCCCGGGUGCAGCCUAAGUUGAGAACUACUGUCCCAGAAGGCCGCCUGUUCUGAGGAAUUCUUCCAUCAUCGUUAAGCUGCUCUUUAUUAAGCUGGCUCGCCGGCAGGAGUUGACUUGGUAUCAGGUGACUUCUAAGUUAGAGCAGCCUGGUGCCGUGUUACAGCCCUGCUUCAAUUACCUUACCUGGAGUAAGUACUAUUUUUACAUCUGAUGACCCACUGUGUGCCAUCGCCUAUCUACUGGGCUGGAUGCGCGUAUACAAAGACAAUAAAGCCAGAACUUCUCUCAAGGUGUUUACAACCUGCUGUUUUUCUCCUUGAGCUCUGGGAGAAGCCAGGUGCCAUGUUGUGAGGACACUGGAGCACCCCUAAGGAGGCCUGUGUUGUGGGAACUGAGGCCUCCUGCCAUCAGCCAGCACCCACUUGCCAGCCAUGUGAAUAAACUAUCUUGGAAGUGGAUCCUCCAGCCCAUUAUGUCCUCAAAUGACAGCAAAUUCAUGAACGACUGUGAGCCAGAACCACCCAGCUAAGUCACUACCAAAUUCUUGACCCACAGAAACUGAGAUAAUACAUAAUAUUUAUUAUUGUUUUAAGCUACUAGGUUUUGGGGGCAUUUUUUACCUAAUAGGCAACUAAUAUGGUAGAUGUGUUUUGUACAAUGCUUUGUUACUGAAAUGGCUCUAGAUUUGCAAGUCACUACUUCAGAAUUCGGUUAGUUCCUCUGAAGUACUAUCCUUACCAUGAGCCCUGUGCUUAUCAUCUGGUGCGUACACCAGAAAACUGGCUUCUCCCCAAGGGUAAAUAAGUGAGAGAAGCGAUAAAGAACUUAGUAACGCUUUCUCUAUAAACUAUUAUAAUAACGAUGGAGAAAGGAAACCUUCUAAUUGCUACUUUCAUUUUGCUUUUUGAAAAAAAACCUAAGCUUAAUCAUGGUUUUACUUUGCUCUAAGGCAAAUCUUCAAUUUCUCCUUUUUUAAAAAGCAAGUUUUAAGUGAAUAUACAUAGAAAUGUGCACAAAUCAAGUGAACAUGCUGAUGAACUAUGACAAAAUGAACACACCCAUGUAACCAUCACCCAGAUCAAAGACAAUGAACAUUAUCAGCCUUCUAGAAGCCCAUCUGGUGCCGUCUCAUCACUACUCUCUCCCUCUUCCUCAAAACCAGCAUCCUAUCUUCUAGCAUCAUUUAUUAAUGUUAAACUUCAUAUAAGUGGAAUCAUACAGCAUGUAUUCUUUUGUGUCUGGUUUCUCUUGCUCAAUUUAUUUGCACUUUUGAUUUAGGAUUAUAAACAUCGUGUCUAAUUGCCUCACUUGUUAUUUUGGAUAAACUUGAAUGAUAGCCACAGACCAUCAGCAAGUUCACACUAGAAAGUGAACACACAUAAAUGUAUUUAAGAGGAGAAAAAGCCUUCCAAUAAUUUACUGGAAUUUCACUGAAUCUGUGCCUUUUGGUUAUCAUAAAGCAGAAAGGAGUUCAACCUCUCAAGAAUCCAGGCUCUGUCAUUUUUCAAGCUGUGUGCUUCUGGAUAAGUUGCCUCACCAUCCAAAUGCUGUUAGGAGGAUUAAAUGAUGUGUAAACACACUCUGUACAUUGUAAAAAAAAAUGCUACAUGUAUUUCAGGUUUUUUUUUUUUGAGGCAGAUUAGCCCUGAGCUAACAUCUGCUGCCAAUCCUCCUCUUUUUGCUGAGGAAGACUGGCCCUGAGCUAACAUCCGUGCCCAUCUUCCUCCACUUUGUAUGUGGGACGCCUGCCACAGCAUGGCUUGUCAAGAGGCACCAUGUCCUCACCUGGGAUGCAAACCGGUGAACCCUGAGCCGCCAAAGCGGAAGAUGUGAACCUAACUGCAGCGCCACUGGGCUGGCCCCUCAGGUGUUGUUUUGAUGUUGGGGUUCACCUUGGCAACCUCAGGUUUGGAUGAUUCUUGAUUCUUCAGGACCUUCUAUCAGAGCUCAGAGACUUGGAUAGAAAGUCUCUCAGGUCAAGGAAGAUCAUUUAUUUUGGGGGUGGGGGGGGCAGAAAGGCAGGCAGUGCUGGGCACUGAGAUACUGGACUAGCUAUGUGUUCUUGGUUCUUGCAGGAUCCAUCUGGGGUGGCUCCCUGCAGAAGCUGGAAUUUCCAUAGUUGGGAAGUAGGGUUUCCAGAGUUAUUCCUAGUGAGGUGAGCUAGUUUGGAGUGAGCAUGGUAAUUCUCUUCAACGAGCAAGAGAGCAGCUCAUCAUUCUUGUUCGCCUGCUACUAGCAAUCAUUACGGAAAAGGUGAAGAAAAUAAGGGCUAUCACCCAAGGGACAUUACACUCUCCCAGGGGAGGCACUUAUGAAAUAAUUAGCGAGCAAGAUAAACUCACAAUCCCAUUACACCUGACGGAGUGAGGGGGUGCUUUGGGGGUACAGAGCGGGGCGAGAUCAUUCCAGGCUUCGGUAUCCUCCGGGAGAAGGAUGCUUGGAAGGGCCUUUGGCAAGUGUGAGAAACGUCUCAGGGCUAGGGGUGACCAUCUUCUCACCCU
rnacentral:lncRNA from 1 species